CCUACGGGUGGCAGCAGUGAGGAAUAUUGGUCAAUGGGCGCGAGCCUGAACCAGCCAAGUAGCGUGAAGGAUGACUGCCCUACGGGUUGUAAACUUCUUUUAUAAAGGAAUAAAGUGAGGCACGUGAGCCUUAUUGUAUGUACUUUAUGAAUAAGGAUCGGCUAACUCCGUGCCAGCAGCCGCGGUAAUAAGGAGGAUACGAGCGAUUUCCGGAUUUUUUGGGUUUAAAGGGAGCGUAUAUGGGUUGUUAAGUCAGUUGUGAAAGUUUGCGGCUCAACCGUAAAAUUGCAAUUGAUACUGGCAGUCUUGAGUACAGUUGAGGUAGGCGGAAUUCGUGGUGUAGCGGUGAAAUGCUUAGAUAUCACGAAGAACUCCGAUUGCGAAGGCAGCUUACUAAACUGCCACUGACAUUGAUGCUCGAAAGUGUGGGUAUCAAACAGGAUUAGAUACCCGAGUAGUC
rnacentral:rRNA from 1 species